rnacentral:rRNA from 1 species
GGGCGUAAAGCGCAUGCAGGUGGUUUGUUAAGUCAGAUGUGAAAGCCCGGGGCUCAACCUCGGAAUUGCAUUUGAAACUGGCAGACUAGAGUACUGUAGAGGGGGGUAGAAUUUCA